rnacentral:rRNA from 1 species
AACGAACGCUGGCGGCAGGCCUAACACAUGCAAGUCGAGCGCCCCGCAAGGGGAGCGGCGGACGGGUGAGUAACGCGUGGGAACGUACCCUUUGCUACGGAAUAGCCUCGGGAAACUGGGAGUAAUACCGUAUGUGCCCUUCGGGGGAAAGAUUUAUCGGCAAAGGAUCGGCCCGCGUUGGAUUAGGUAGUUGGUGGGGUAAUGGCCUACCAAGCCGACGAUCCAUAGCUGGUUUGAGAGGAUGAUCAGCCACACUGGGACUGAGACACGGCCCAGACUCCUACGGGAGGCAGCAGUGGGGAAUCUUAGACAAUGGGCGCAAGCCUGAUCUAGCCAUGCCGCGUGAGCGAUGAAGGCCUUAGGGUUGUAAAGCUCUUUCAGUGGGGAAGAUAAUGACUGUACCCACAGAAGAAGCCCCGGCUAACUCCGUGCCAGCAGCCGCGGUAAGUGCGACGACA